UUUUAGCCCAGAUAACAACGGAAAGCCCACGACUCAAAAAAUGUAGUUUUUAUUAGCUUAAAAAAGCGACUGAAAGAAGCUCUUUUUAAGGUUUAGAAAAACACAUUUUUUGAGUGUGGACUUGAAGUGUAUAUCUGGAUUAGCU
rnacentral:misc_RNA from 1 species